AUUGAACGCUGGCGGAAUGCUUUACACAUGCAAGUCGAGCGGCAGCGCGGGGGCAACCCUGGCGGCGAGCGGCGAACGGGUGAGUAACAUAUCGGAACGUACCCAGUCGUGGGGGAUAACUAUCCGAAAGGAUAGCUAAUACCGCAUACGUCCUGAGGGAGAAAGCGGGGGAUCGCAAGACCUCGCGCGAUUGGAGCGGCCGAUAUCGGAUUAGCUAGUUGGUGGGGUAAAGGCUCACCAAGGCGACGAUCCGUAGCGGGUCUGAGAGGACGACCCGCCACACUGGAACUGAGACACGGUCCAGACUCCUACGGGAGGCAGCAGUGGGGAAUUUUGGACAAUGGGGGCAACCCUGAUCCAGCCAUUCCGCGUGAGUGAAGAAGGCCUCGGUUGUAA
rnacentral:rRNA from 1 species